rnacentral:lncRNA from 1 species
GCAAACACCUCUCUAUUAACUUUCGCCUCUGCUUGGGAUUUAGGAGUAACCCUCGUCACGAUAUCAUGUGCCAGUUUUCUCUCUCUACCAGCCACUUCGGUCCUUUCCACUACAGGUCUUCUCCUUGUACACGUCCACCUCGACUUCCAAGAUCUGCGGGCUUGUCACAUGACGCCAUUUCACAUCUGAAUGUUGUCCAGUGGAUCUUACUGACCCGGUUGCUCACGACCUGCUUAUAAUCACCAGCUCCUCUUAUCCAGUGCAGGACCACUGGGCUGUCAAGCCAACAGUGAAGUUCACCGACAGGAAACCCUUCCAACGCAUCUCUGGUGUUAGUGAUCAGGUUUUUCGCCAUGUGUCCCGAGACCAACUCCAGGACAGGGAAUGCUUACGCCUUGCUUGGCCAAUCUUGCUUUCACAGUCACCAGUCCCACACUGACUCCUGAAGGUUGGGUUACCACAGCAUACAAGGCAGCUGAAACCCCUCUACCACUCGCGCAACCGAAGCAGUGCAGGCCAAUUUUUGUGGUGUUUUCUCUGUGGCCCGUGAGGGGCCUGGACACGGUUACGCCUGUAGGUAACCCUUCCUCCCAUUUUGAUAGUUCUUUGAUUAAUCCAUCUGGCAGUUGUGUGUCCCAUGGUAUUUUCAGUUCACAGGCCUAGCGGUAGAGUAAUUUCCCGCUAAACAUUGUGGGUGAGUCCAAACCCAGUGGGUUGUAAACUCUGGACAAUGUUCCCAAUACGAUUCUCUUGGUAGGCUGGGCAUGUUCAACGGGGAACUUGACUUCAAGGGUGUCUUUUUCCAUGUCCCAAGAAACUCCGAGGAGCGAUCCUUUCCCUCUUUGGGGAACGCCCAAUUGCUGCUUUGCAUAGGUUUCUUGCGUGUCACUACUCUGGUUUGUACUGACUGCGUGUAACUCAGCGGCAUUUGAAUACCAUUUGUGAAGUGUAAAUCCACCUUGGGCAAAUAUUUCGGUCACAGUCUCCUUAACUUGCAUAGCUGCCGUCACAGUAGGACCACCAUUGAUCAAAUCGUCAAGGUACAGACUCUUCUCUAUCUCGCUCACAAUCUCUGGAUACGUUGCACGACAGUUCUCUAAGUGUUGUCGAACUACUCCCCCUAGCAGGAAAGGUGAUGAAGAAAGGCCAAACAACGCCCUUGUGAACUGCAGCAUCUCCACGCGUCUCAUCUCAUGGUCAGCAAUCCAGUGGAAGCGCAUAGCGUCACGGUGGUACUCACGGUCCUGUUAUCAGAACCAGGUGAAAUCGUGUCCGUAUCAGUACUGCCAAUGGUUGAUAUUGUAAGGGGGGACCCGCAUGUAGACAAUCUUUGAGUGAGGUUGCAUUGUCAUGCGCUCAAGCUGAAGUGUCAUAGACAGUGCGAAGCUUUGUGCUUUCAGCAGUCUCUCUGACCACGGGUUUGUGUGGUAAGUAAAACUCUCUCCUCGCCACGUGCUCUGUGGCAGGCUCUAUGAUUCUCUCAGUACGUUGAUCUUUAAUGAUUGCAUCAUACUACUCGAAGAGUUCUUGUUUCUCUAGUUUUGGAAUGGUACUGUCCAGUCAUCUCAAGCUUUCCGCUUUGUUGUCAGGCAACGUAGGGUGAUUUCCUUUCCAGGGCAGUCCAGUCUCGUACCAACCCUCCACGUUCUUGAACUCAUCGUACAGGUCUGUUUGAUGUCCUUUGUCUUGUAUCCCCCAACACAUUUAAUUUGCAUAGUGCUUCACAGUCUGCUGCUGCUGUCUGAGUUAAAAGCAUGCUCGAGAUGUCAAUUUCUUUUCCUGAUGACAUUAUUGUCCAUCCAAACUGUGUCAGCUCCACCACAGACUCUCCUAGGAGUCCAAUCUUGGGUCUCAUUUCGGUUCUUAUCUUUGUGUUAUCACUUACACCCAGUAUGAUGUGUACUGGAAGUUCAGCCUUUUUGUCCCCAUCACUCACAUGUCCUCCCGCGAUCCACUUUCGUGACUUCGGUUUCCAGUCGGAGCUUCCCAUUGAGACUGUUAAUCGUCACAAUAUAAACGCCGAUGACUUUGUUGACAGAUCCCAGCAUCAUCUCUACGCGCUUGAAUUCUUUAUGAACUGAUCGAAUGCCAAGAUAAUCCAAAAUAGUGGGUGACGUAUAGGAACUACCCACCCUUGUGUUGAGGAAUGCACGACACUUAAAUCCAUUGACCUUGACCAAAACAACAGGAUAAAUGACUUGACCCGGUCAGCUCUUGUCAUUGGCGAUGAGAAAUUGUCCAUUGGUUGUUUGAGUUGUUUGGUCACAAAUGGAAGUGUGGUGUCUGCGUUGGCAUUUCUAGCAUCCGUGACUUCUACAGCUUUCAGCUCUGUGUCUGUCACCGGUGCAAUUAAAACAUAAUUGCUUUCGGCUGAGAAGUCUCCUUUGAUCUUCAACCACUUUGGGACAAUUUAGCGGAAAAGUGAUCAGGCUUGUCACAGUAAACGUUCCCACGCAUUUGUCGUCCAUUUUCCUGUUGGGCUUGGUAAGAGCUCCUUUUAAAGUUCCCCUGAUGCCUGUCAUUCUUUCGGUCUGGCACUGUUCUAUUUUCCCUUUCUUCGGUCACCAGAUUGAUUUUUUCCUAACGGUUAAUCGCUUGUAAUGAUUGGCUAAAAUCCCACUCUUGCCACCCUUCUUGUCCCUGCACCAGGUCAGCCUUCAUACCUCUCAGUUUGUCCAACAUUGCUCUUACAUUCCCUGAGACUAUCAAACAUUGUACAAAAGCUUUUUGUAAAACACAUCAACUUCUCGCGGGCUUCCGCCCAGGAUAGUUGGUAAAUCCAUGAUGUUGGUCGCAUACGCAUUAGUGAUCUCUGGAGUUUUCCCAUACUCUGUCUUAAGAAUAUUCUUCGCCCUCUCAUAACCCUCCGUGCUUAAUGGUAGCCCAUCAGUAUCUACCCGUAGCUUUGGUUGGAUGAGUUCCUUCUGUUAGGCAAAUUUGGUCAUCAGUUGAAUCAAUUUCCGCGCUGAAUUUAUUCCAAAACGGAAGCCAUGGUUCAAAAGUCCCAUCAAACUUGGUAAUUGAUAGCUUUGGUAGCAUCCACACCCUCAAUUUUCUCAUCUAUUUCAUUGCUCCAAGUUCAUACCUCUUCCAUGGAAAGGCCCUUUUCUUGUUCUGCCUCUUCGAUCUUCACUUUAACUUCAUCCACUUCUUUUGCCAAAGUCGGUAAUGCAUCCACAUGCCUCUCAAGAGUAGCCGUGUUCUUCUUUGCAACAAUGUCCUUCCCUUUGCUCUUUUUGAACUCCAGAAGUUGAAGUUUCGUCCCAAUCUCUUUGAUAAGUUUCUCCAGAUCCAUCUCCUCGUGUGUAAGUCCCGUCGGCGGUGACACUUAUUGUUGGAAACGCAGAUAUCAACACUAGUCACUCUCGAUCUCGUUGUAAUUUAUUUUAAUGUUCACAGCUAAAUCACUCCCUAUGUCUCGAGUAUGUCUCAGUCACUGUCACUCAUUACAAAGCAAAUAUAAGCUCUUUAAAUGCGCCUCGAUAAGGUUGCUAAGGAAAUACGAUUUACGUCAUUGCUAAGAUCAUCGUGAAUAUCAAAUGUGACGCUAAACGAUCGUCAUGCACUUGUAAUGAAUGGAAUUUCCGUGAUCUUUUAAAAAUCUUGAUAUACCUUUUUUGUCUCUUUCAGGUUACAAUAGCCAACAGCUGCAGCUUCUAAAAAGACUGUCCUUGCUCCUGCUACUACGAAAUGAAAACUGAUAAGUGUUCAGUGAUUACUCAAAACCUUUCUAGCAUGCGAGAUGCAUCAGUCAGCAGGAAACUGACAAUGAUGCGCGCUUCACCAAGAUGUUUUAAAGAAGUCACGAGACAACUACUAUCAAAAGAUCUAAAGAAUAGUGUUCCUGAAGGUUAACUACUGUCGAAGAACUGUCUUGAUCUAGUGUCGGAAUCACACUUCUCAAACUCAUUAAUAAUUCAUCAAGUUAAAACAAAGAAAAUCUCAACCACUAAGGAGG